GUUGUAUGGUUAAGUGACUAAGCGUACACGGUGGAUGCCUUGGCAGUCAGAGGCGAUGAAGGACGUAUUAACUUGCGAUAAGCCCAGAUUAGGUAGUAAAAACCAUUUGAGUCUGGGAUUUCCGAAUGGGGAAACCCACUUACAUAAGUAAGUAUCCUGUUGUGAAUACAUAGCAACAGGAGGCGAACCGGGGGAACUGAAACAUCUAAGUACCCCGAGGAAAAGAAAUCAACCGAGAUUCCGAAAGUAGCGGCGAGCGAAAUUGGACUAGCCCUUAAGCUUUAUAUGCGUUAGACGAACGGUCUGGAAAGUCCGGCGAUACAGGGUGAUAGCCCCGUAGUUGACAACGCACAUUCAGUGAAAUCGAGUAGGGCGGGACACGUGAUAUCCUGUCUGAAUAUGGGGGGACCAUCCUCCAAGGCUAAAUACUACUGACUGACCGAUAGUGAACCAGUAC
rnacentral:rRNA from 1 species